CGGGUGAGUAACGCGUAGGUAACCUGCCUUGUAGCGGGGGAUAACUAUUGGAAACGAUAGCUAAUACCGCAUAACAAUGGAUGACCCAUGUCAUUUAUUUGAAAGGGGCAAAUGCUCCACUACAAGAUGGACCUGCGUUGUAUUAGCUAGUAGGUGAGGUAACGGCUCACCUAGGCGACGAUACAUAGCCGACCUGAGAGGGUGAUCGGCCACACUGGGACUGAGACACGGCCCAGACUCCUACGGGAGGCAGCAUG
rnacentral:rRNA from 1 species